rnacentral:lncRNA from 1 species
AUUGCCACGAGCUGUGGUGUAGGUCACAGAUGCAGCUCGGAUCCCAUGUUGCUGUGGCUGUGGUGUAUGUAGGCUGGCAGCUAUAGUCCAAUUUGAGCCAUAGCUUGGGAACGUCCAUAUGCUGCAGGUGCAGCCCUAAAAAGACACAAACAAACAAAACAAAGCAAAACACCCCCCACCAUUAACAUCAUACCUAAUGGUGAAAGACUGAACACCUGCCCUCUAAGAAUAAGAGUAAGACAGAAUGUCUGCUCUCAUCCACUUGUUUAGCCAGGACAGUUAGGCAAGAAAAUAUAGCUUGUAAAGGAAGAAGUAAAACUACCUCCAUUUGCAGAUCACGUGAUUAUUAUUAUUAUUUUUUUCUUUUUAUGGCCACACCUGUGGCAUGUGGAAGUUCCCAGGCUAGGGGCUGAAUUGGAGCCUCAGCUGCCGGCCUAUACCGUGGCCACAGCAAUGCCAGAUCUGAGUCGAGUCUGUGACCUACACCACAGCUCACGGCAAUACCAGGUCCUUAACCCACUGAGUGAGGCCAGGGAUUGAACCCGUAUCCUCACAGAGAUUAUUAUGUUGAGUUCUUAACCCUCUGAGCCAUAAUGUGAACUCCUGAUUUUACAUACAGAAAAUUGUAAAGAAUUUAAAAAAAUUAUUAGAACUAAUAAGCCAAUUUAUCAAGAUCAUAGGACACAAGUUUAAAAUACAGAAACACUAGCAGUGAACUAUCUGGGAAUGAAAUUAAGAAAACAGUUUCAUUUCAGUAGCAUCAAAAUAAACAGAAUACUUCCAUAGCUACUAUAUUGUAUGGCUCAGGCCAUUGCUUAAAGUUCUGUUGGACAGCACUGCUGCUGAAGAGUGGUGGUUGUAGAGAACCUGGACAGGCAUUACAAACAUGCUCUUCUGGACAUCCAUCCACAAGGACUACAAACAGUAUAGUAGUGCAGUGGUUAUUUCCUGUAAUAAAGCUGUUGAAAAUAUCUCGUUCUUAUUGCACCUUAUAAGAUGCAAUCUUGACUGGUUCAACCUUUGCAUAUAAGUGGGGUAAAAUGUGCAUGGGAAAGAGAUGAAGCAAAUGUAGUAAAACAUUGAGUAUGAUUAUGAUUAUUAUUUUUUGUCUUUUUGCCUUUUCUAGGGCUGCUCCUGUGGCAUAUGGAGGUUCCCAGGCUAGGGGUUGAAUCAGAGCUGUAGCCACCGGCCUACACCAGAGUCAUAGCAACGCAGGAUCCGAGCCGCGUCUGCAACCUAUACCACAGCUCACGGCAACGCCAGAUCCUUAACCCACUGAGCAAGGCCAGGGAUCAAACCCACAACCUCAUGGUUCCUAGUCGGAUUCGUUAACCACUGCACCACGAUGGGAACUCCGAGUAUGAUUAUUUUGAGAAAUAGGGCUAUGAGUCAUCAUUUCGCUGUUGGCUGUUUGUAGUGCACUAUGCAGCCGGAAUACUUGUUUUUCUCUACUUUCCCCACCUCAAACCCUGAAACAUGAUUUAGGUGACAUUAUUUGAAUUCCUAGGAACACUGUUUUUUUUUUUUUUUUUUUUUUUUUUUUUUUUUUAAUCAUUUACAGCCAAAAUAAUACUAAAUGUGCUACUUUUCUGAGUUUCUAAGUUUUCUACAACAUGUAUCUAUUCCUCAUCAAAUUGGAAAUUUUUUUAAAGAAAACUUGAGAAAAUGUAAGUGAUACAAUAUGUUUAAAAAAUCCAGGUAGGGGGAAGUGGGUGGAGUAUAGAUGAAACAAGAUUGGUCAGGAAUUGAUAAUGGUAAAACGCUGGAGGAUGAAUUCAUGGGGGUUCAUUAUACUAUCAUCAGCACUUAGAACAUUCUAUUAAAACAGGGAACAAUGAUCAGCAGUAUUGUCUGAUACAAAGGGUCAGAAAUGUGCCAAUUGACUUGGCAAUGUUCCAGAGGGGCUUUUUAGGAGAAUAUUGUGUAGAAAAGCCAGAAAGCAAAGGGUAGGGGUUAUGAAUGAGCAAAGUGGAGGCAGUACUUAGAUCUUUAAAAAAAUAUUUGGAGGUUAGACAUCAGAAAGAAUUAUAAUUGAAAGUAGUUUUAAUUAAGCAGUUAAUUUUCUAUAGUCUCGUGAUUUUCAAUUUUUUAGGAAAUGUUUUUUCGCUUAAAAGUAAUACUCAAACUGAAAAUUAGAAAAAUAAAAAGGAGUAGAAAGGCACAGUUAUCCAUUGUCUCACUGGAAAAGAACACGUAUUACCCACCAAUCUUUGUCAUUUACCUAUUUUUAUUAUUUAUUUAUUUUAAUUUUUUUUUUUGCUGCACCACAGCACAUGGAAGUUCCCAGGCCAGGAGUCGAACCCACGCCACAGCAGUGACCUGAGCUGCUGCAGUGACAAUGCCAGAUCCUUAACCCACUGCACCACAAGGGAACUCCUAUCAUCUACCUAUUAAUCUCUCUGUAUUCACAUAUCAGAUUUUGCUUCACAUAUAACUUUGUAUUCUGCCUUUUUUUUUUAAACACCAAAAUACUAUUUUCUUGUGCUGCUACAACACCUUGAUAGCAUCAUAUAAAUUACUUACAGAUUACCUCCUCAUAUGGUGGUGUUUUAAUAUACCAGGUCAUUUUUCCACUUUGGGACAAUUAAACUGAAGGAGUGCGAUCCCAGGGAAGGGGAGAGUAGAGGGAUGAGUACAUCCAUCCGUAGUUAGCCCUGGAAGGGAGGAGUGCCUGGCCUUACCCCAUGAGUUUUGAGAAGGAUGCUGUUGGGAGUUCUUAUGUGGCUCAGGGGGUUAAGAACCUGACAUAGUGUCUGUGAGGAUGUGGAGUUUGAUCCCUGGCCUCACUCAGUGGACUAAGGAUACAGUGUUGCCACAAGCUGUGGUGCAGGUCAAAGAUGCAGCUUGAUCCAGUACUGCUGUGGCUGUGGUGUAGGCUGGCAGCUGCAGUUCUGAAUCUUUCCAUAGCCUGGGGACUUCCAUAUGCC